rnacentral:rRNA from 1 species
UCCUACGGGGGGCAGCAGUAGGGAAUAUUGCCCAAUGGGGGAAACCCUGAAGCAGCAACGCCGCGUGGAGGAUGAAGGUUUUCGGAUUGUAAACUCCUUUUGUUAGAGAAGAUAAUGACGGUAUCUAACGAAUAAGCACCGGCUAACUCCGUGCCAGCAGCCGCGGUAAUACGGAGGGUGCAAGCGUUACUCGGAAUCACUGGGCGUAAAGAGCGCGUAGGCGGGAUCGCAAGUCAGAUGUUAAAUCCUCUGGCUUAACCCUAGAACUGCAUUUGA